rnacentral:lncRNA from 1 species
UGAUGUAUCUGUUGGCACCUACCAUGACAUCAUCAGCAUCGAGCGUACCUGGCAUAUUUGCCUCAUGCCCCAAGAGUCACAUGUUUGAGCCUGGUGCUUUUUCCCUUCUUGAUAGAUUUGGAACCUUGGUGUACAAAGGAACCAUUUUUGCUGUUGUCGGUUUUGGUGCUGGACUAGUUGGAACCACACUUUCCAAUGGGUUGAUCAGUAUGAGGAAGAAGAUGGAUCCAACCUUUGAGACACCUAACAAGCCCCCACCUACCCUUUUGAAUGCUCUGACAUGGGCAGGUCACAUGGGGGUUAGCAGCA